rnacentral:rRNA from 1 species
AUUGAACGCUAGCGGGAUGCUUUACACAUGCAAGUCGAACGGCAGCGCGGACUUCGGUCUGGCGGCGAGUGGCGAACGGGUGAGUAAUGUAUCGGAACGUGCCCAGUAGCGGGGGAUAACUACGCGAAAGCGUAGCUAAUACCGCAUACGCCCUACGGGGGAAAGCAGGGGAUCGCAAGACCUUGCACUAUUGGAGCGGCCGAUAUCGGAUUAGCUAGUUGGUGAGGUAACGGCUCACCAAGGCGACGAUCCGUAGCUGGUUUGAGAGGACGACCAGCCACACUGGGACUGAGACACGGCCCAGACUCCUACGGGAGGCAGCAGUGGGGAAUUUUGGACAAUGGGGGCAACCCUGAUCCAGCCAUCCCGCGUGUGCGAUGAAGGCCUUCGGGUUGUAAAGCACUUUUGGCAGGAAAGAAACGUCGCGGGCUAAUACCCCGUGGAACUGACGGUACCUGCAGAAUAAGCACCGGCUAACUACGUG